rnacentral:rRNA from 1 species
GACGAACGCUGGCGGCGUGCUUAACACAUGCAAGUCGAGCGAUGAAGCUCCUUCGGGAGUGGAUUAGCGGCGGACGGGUGAGUAGCACGUGGGUAACCUGCCUCAUAGAGGGGAAUAGCCUUCCGAAAGGAAGAUUAAUACCGCAUAAGAUUGUAGUACCGCAUGGUACAGCAAUUAAAGGAGUAAUCCGCUAUGAGAUGGACCCGCGUCGCAUUAGCUAGUUGGUGAGGUAACGGCUCACCAAGGCGACGAUGCGUAGCCGACCUGAGAGGGUGAUCGGCCACAUUGGGACUGAGACACGGCCCAGACUCCUACGUGGGGCAGCAGUGGGGAAUAUUGCACAAUGGGGGAAACCCUGAUGCAGCAACGCCGCGUGAGUGAUGACGGUCUUCGGAUUGUAAAACUCUGUCUUCAGGGACGAUAAUGACGGUACCUGAGGAGGAAGCCACGGCUAACUACGUGCCAGCCGCCGCGGUAA